AACGCACAUUGCGCUCCCUGGUAUUCCGGGGAGCAUGCCUGUUCGAGCGUCAUUAUCAACCAUCAAGCACUGCUUGGCAUUGGGCGUCGUCCCCCGUGGACGCGCCUUAAACCCUUUGGCGGCGGUUACAAACCUCAAGCGUAGUAGAAAUCCUUAGCUUUCUAGGUUGUGGCCGUCCUGCCUCGAGAACAUCUCACCUCAAGGUUGACCUCGGAUCAGGUAGGGAUACCCGCUGAACUUAA
rnacentral:misc_RNA from 2 species